GAUGAACGCUGGCGGUAUGCUUAACACAUGCAAGUCGAACGGACUCUUCGGAGUUAGUGGCGGACGGGGGAGUAACGCGUGAGAAUCUGGCUUUGGGUUCGGGACAACCACUGGAAACGGUGGCUAAUACCGGAUGUGCCGAGAGGUAAAAGAGGAAUUGCCUGCAUAUAAGCUCGGGUCUGAUUAGCUAGUUGGUGAGGUAAAGGCUCACCAAGGCAGCGAUCAGUAGGUGGUCUGAGUGGAUGACCAGCCACAGUGGGACUGAGACACGGCCGAGACUCCUGCGGGGGGGAGCAGUGGAGAAUUGUCCGCAGUGGGGGAACGUCUGACAGAGCAAUACCGCGUGAGAGAAGAGGGCUCUUGGGUUGUACACCUUUUGUCUUAGAGAAGGACAGAGUGACGGUACCUGGUAAAGCAGCACCGGCUAACUCCGUG
rnacentral:rRNA from 1 species